UACGAAGGGGGCUAGCGUUGUUCGGAAUUACUGGGCGUAAAGCGUGCGCAGGCGGCUGCUCAAGUCAGGGGUGAAAGCCCAGAGCUCAACUCUGGAAUUGCCUUUUAGACUGCAUCGCUUGAAUCAUGGAGAGGUCAGUGGAAUUCCGAGUGUAGAGGUGAAAUUCGUAGAUAUUCGGAAGAACACCAGUGGAGAAGGCGGCUGACUGGACAUGUAUUGACGC
rnacentral:rRNA from 1 species